rnacentral:snoRNA from 1 species
AUGUGGAUUUUGUUGAACUGGUGGUCAAAAACAUAAAGACAGAGAGGUAAAAACAAAUCCUCUUUUACAACCCAGAGUUCAUUGCUCAGUUUGAGUUUUGAACCAUGUGGGAAGGAAUGUG